ACGAACGCUGGCGGCGUGCUUAACACAUGCAAGUCGAACGGAAAGGCCCUGCUUGCAGGGUACUCGAGUGGCGAACGGGUGAGUAACACGUGGGUGAUCUGCCCUGCACUUCGGGAUAAGCUUGGGAAACUGGGUCUAAUACCGGAUAGGAGCCAUCUUUAGUGUGGUGGUUGGAAAGUUUUUUCGGUGUAGGAUGAGCUCGCGGCCUAUCAGCUUGUUGGUGGGGUAGUGGCCUACCAAGGCGGCGACGGGUAGCCGGCCUGAGAGGGUGUACGGCCACAUUGGGACUGAGAUACGGCCCAGACUCCUACGGGAGGCAGCAGUGGGGAAUAUUGCACAAUGGGCGCAAGCCUGAUGCAGCGACGCCGCGUGGGGGAUGAAGGCCUUCGGGUUGUAAACUCCUUUCGCUAGGGACGAAGCUUUUUUGUGACGGUACCUAGAUAAGAAGCACCGGCUAACUACGUG
rnacentral:rRNA from 1 species